UACGUAGGGUGCGAGCGUUGCCCGGAUUUAUUGGGGCGUAAAGGGCGCGUAGGCGGCUCCGUACGUCCCGCGGUGAAAAGCUCCCGGCUCACCUGGGAGAGGUCGCGGGAUACGGCGGGGCUCGAGCACGGUAGGGGGCCAUGGAAUUCCCGGUGUAGUGGUGGAAUGCGUAGAGAUCGGGAGGAACACCAGUGGCGAAGGCGGUGGCCUGGACCGAUGCUGACGCUGAGGCGGACGAAAGCGUGGGGAGCAAACAGG
rnacentral:rRNA from 1 species